AGCGAACGCUGGCGGCAGGCCUAACACAUGCAAGUCGAACGAAGUCUUCGGACUUAGUGGCGGACGGGUGAGUAACACGUGGAAACGUACCUUUUGGUUCGGAACAACUCAGGGAAACUUGAGCUAAUACCGGAUGAGCCCUUAGGGGGAAAGAUUUAUCGCCGAAAGAGCGGCCCGCGUUAGAUUAGCUAGUUGGUGAGGUAAAGGCUCACCAAGGCUACGAUCUAUAGCUGGUCUGAUAGGAUGAUCAGCCACACUGGGACUGAGACACGGCCCAGACUCCUACGGGAGGCAGCAGUGGGGAAUCUUGCGCAAUGGGCGAAAGCCUGACGCAGCCAUGCCGCGUGAAUGAUGAAGGUCUUAGGAUUGUAAAAUUCUUUUACCAGGGACGAUAAUGACGGUACCUGGAGAAAAAGCCCCGGCUAACUUCGUGCCAGCAGCCGCCGUAACAC
rnacentral:rRNA from 1 species